GCACACACGCACACACGCACACACAUACACGCUCCCCCCCCCAGCUGGACCGGCAAGUGGAGCGGCUUCUAGGGUUCCUGCGCUCGCACUCGGGCCCGGCGUACGGCCAUCAGGGGCUCCGUAUCCGUGCCGCACUAGACGGAUUGGGAGAGCGACCUCCCCUGGAGCAGCCGGAGCGAUACAGCUUCUGGGUGGUGGGUUUUUUGCCUUCGCCGGGGACUGGGGGAUGCUUGGGGGGUUUGGGGGAUUUUGCUGCUUUUGUGGGGGAGAGAGCUCUCGGAGUUUAAACACCUUGACACAUACCCGGGGGGGUUGUGUGUGUUUAGAAGGCCAAGGCAAGGCAGCGCUGAACGCAUGUUACUUAGUGAGUUGUCAGAGGGCAAGAGCAGUCUCUCUCCACUGGAAGGUGAUGCCUCACUGGAUAACGCUGCUUUGUUUUCAUGACGAUCGGCGGCUGUUGUGUGUUGUGUUUCGUCUUACGACACUGCCUCCCCCCCCCUCCGGUGUCUUCCCCUCAGGUCAACGUGGCGGGUUUGGUGGUUCCGGAGCUGCGCAAGGCAGAGAUGCUGCGCGGUACGGAUACGGCCGUACGGCUACGGCAGUUGAAUCAGCAAUUGGGGGGUUGGAUGGGGAGUUUCCUGGCAGGUGGCGCGCCGGGUUGCCUGGUUAUGUGAGGGCAGUGCGUGUGUGUGUGUGUGUGUUUUGGGGGAAGGGGAAUUAUUAACAUUUUGAACUGUUCGGUCGUACAUGUAUGGGUUCGUACAUGCAUGAGGGUUUUGUUUAAGGUGAAGUUGGGAGGAUUUCGUUGAGAGGAAACCGAACUGGGGGGUCCCCCGGGGGGGUUUUGUGUAGGGUGGUGGCGCGGUUGGGCAUUAGGUGGUGAUAGGCAUCAAGGGCUUUACCCCUGUCCACUACAUAAUGCGACAAGAAGCAACACGGCCGCGCUUGAGGCGCGAAGAAUGAAUUUUCAUCGGCGUUGUUUUGGCGGAAUUCAAUACAUCCCAGAAACGUGUAUUUUACAUGUAUGCUGGCUAAAAGCGCUGAGAGCGGGGCGCUGUGCCUUGUGAAUAAUAAUCAUUGGAGAAUCGUGUGCGACCGUACGGGUGUUCGUACACUUGUACGGCGUACCCGGCGCGUAUGUUGUGUACUGCCUUGAUGAGAAAGGAGGUUUGAAUGUGCGUGGGAAGGUGAACGUUUUGCUGGCUGCCGCAUACUCCCUUUUUCAACAAUAAUAAGAAGCAAGAGACGAUGUCCCUGGUUUCAAGUUGCAUACGGCAGGUUUCGGGCCUUAACUAACUUUGCAACCGUCAUUAUAACAACCACAUCCAUCCUGCCAUUCAUUUGUAUAAUAAUAGUAUUUUACACUAAUCUCAACAAAAGGCCUUUCGUCGCGAACCAUAAAAAUAGCUUGUGAGCACCUGCACUUGCACUGAAACCACCGAGCACCAUAUUUUUUGUUCGCAUACACGUCCCUUAGGUAACAAUCCAAAGCCGACGAAGGGAAUCAACAAAGUUGAGGACUUUAUAAACACUUAAGACAAACUCAAAAGGUUGCUGGUUGGGGAUUGGUGUUGGACCAGUGACCGUGUCGAGGCGUGGGAGGGGACUGCGGGCGUAGACAAGCACAUUUCCUUAAAGUCAUGGCCGCAAGCCAUUUUACAAUUUUCGACACCUUACCGCAAACUGGUGUCAGUCUUUAACAGCAGUUUUAACAACAACACGCAAAAUAACCAUAAAAUAUAUAGUGUUUCCUGAUUUCCGAUGUUUCGUGUUGUUAUUGCUCGGUCCUGCCGUAUUUCGCGUAACAGUAGCUAAGCCGGCAGCCGCCAGCCGGCAGCUUGUUAGCAAAACACACAACCCGGUUGCAAAACCCCCUCCCAACACCAACCCAUUGUGAAAGUUGCACCAGUGGCAGAUAGUAAUGACAGUUACCUGUGUUGCACCGAUAAAUAGUACCCCCCCCCGACCUAAAGGGCCCCGACGUGCUGAAGAGCCACCCCGGGCGACCCACCCCGGGCCAGCAGCGACAAAACCAGGGACCGCUGCGUUGUCGCAAUUCCAGGGGAUUGGCCGGGGUGGGGAGGAGGGGGGCACGGCGAAGCACAGGCGGUUGACGAAAAAGGAAAAACACAGACGGAUACUCCGAGAUUAGACCAAAAAAGUAGGACAAUGUGUAAUAUGAUGCUGACCUGCGGGGGGUUGCGUGGGGGAAAAACCAGAGGCCACUGUCCCAGCAGCGGGACCUAAACACACCUCUUGGUAGGUAAUAGUCAAAACAACGCCAGUUUGUUGAGAACCCGGGAGCCUUUGCGACCCAAGUAGAAGCUCUUGGAGUCCCCUGCCGUACAUAUGUCCGUCACAUGCGUGCAUGCAUGCGCCCUGCUUCCACGCACCACGGCAGUUCCCCUUCGUAAUAACUUACUACUCGCACAUCUCUACACACAUACUUCGCUUGGCGAUGUCGAAGCAUGUUGAACCGGCAGAAAUAGCUGUACGACGGUCGAAGCCAAGAAAUGUUCGCCCCCAGCCUGGAUGAUGAUGAUAAGAGAGAGUCGCAAUGGAGAACUCGGCCCUCCUGGGUCGCGAAAGACCGGGAUUUGUUUCCUUGCUUGUUGUCGCUUUAAAGAUACUCCGUUCCGUCCGCUAAUAAAUAAAUUAGGGUUUUGCUACCCGUACGGAAGUCUGUGCCGUAUUUUGUGGAGGCAGCAGUGCAGUACGCACAGCAAACUUUAGCAUGCAUGCACAGCACUUACCUUGGGAUGCAACGCAGGUACAGCUGUAACUGUAGUUCCCAUAUCGAUCCCGAGCGCAUGCACAUUAUGUCCUGUUCCAUGACUUACACACCGCACCUUGCAAGUAAAAGCACGACAUGAUUAUGAUGACCACAACGGUUAGGUGGUUGAGCGGUUGAAGUGGUUGGUUCCUUUGACCAGUCACCUCACCAAGAGGGCUUCACAUCGUCAUAAUAUCCCUCUUUUACACUGCCGUACGCCGGUGCCUCACACCACAGUCACCCAAAUACACACACAGAAAACGGGCUCUCUCUCCUCCCGUCCCGCUGUUUGCCCAAACAUGGGCGCACCACCCCUUUUGAUGGUCAAUCCGGUUGACCCGGGGAAAAAACGACCAAGUUCCGAAACCCAAACACAAACACACAUAUGACGGCACUCUGCUCCCACUCCCCACUUCCGUCCCCCGGGUGAUCCUCACAUACACACACAUACACACACAUACACACACAUACACACACAUACACACACAUACACACACAUACACACACAUACACACACAUACACACACAUACACACACAUACACACACAUACACACACAUACACACACAUACACACAUACACACACAUACACACACAUACACACACAUACACACACAUACACACACAUACACACACAUACACACACAUACACACACAUACACACACAUACACACACAUACACACACAUACACACACAUACACACACAUACACACACAUACACACACAUACACACAUACACACACAUACACACAUACACACACAUACACACACAUACACACACAUACACACACAUACACACACAUACACACACAUACACACACAUACACACACACAUACACACACAUACACACACCAAGAAUCCCUCCCCCGCUCACGCGGGGCUAACCCCCGUCUUCCCCUUACUGCCCCU
rnacentral:lncRNA from 1 species